rnacentral:rRNA from 1 species
GACGAACGCUGGCGGCGUGCCUAAUACAUGCCAGUUGAGCGCUGAAGGUUGGUACUUGUACCAACUGGAUGAGCAGCGAACGGGUGAGUAACGCGUGGGGAAUCUGCCUUUGAGCGGGGGACAACAUUUGGAAACGAAUGCUAAUACCGCAUAAAAACUUUAAACACAAGUUUUAAGUUUGAAAGAUGCAAUUGCAUCACUCAAAGAUGAUCCCGCGUUGUAUUAGCUAGUUGGUGAGGUAAAGGCUCACCAAGGCGAUGAUACAUAGCCGACCUGAGAGGGUGAUCGGCCACAUUGGGACUGAGACACGGCCCAAACUCCUGCGGGAGGCAGCAGUAGGGAAUCUUCGGCAAUGGACGAAAGUCUGACCGAGCAACGCCGCGUGAGUGAAGAAGGUUUUCGGAUCGUAAAACUCUGUUGGUAGAGAAGAACGUUGGUGAGAGUGGAAAGCUCAUCAAGUGACGGUAACUACACAGAAAGGGACGGCUAACUACGUG